rnacentral:rRNA from 1 species
GGACCCGCACAAGUAGUGGAGCAUGUGGUUUAAUUCGAAGAUACGCGCAGAACCUUACCAACACUUGACAUGUUCGUCGCGACUUUAAGAGAUUAAAGUUUCGUUCGGCCGGACGAAACACAGGUGCUGCAUGGCUGUCGUCAGCUCGUGUCGUGAGAUGUUGGGUUAAGUCCCGCAACGAGCGCAACCCUCACUUUUAGUUGCCAUCAUUUAGUUGGGCACUCUGAAAGAACUGCCAGUGAUAAGCUGGAGGAAGGUGGGGAUGACGUCAAGUCCUCAUGGCCCUUACGUGUUGGGCUACACACGUGCUACAAUGGUAUCUACAACAGGAAGCAAAACGGCGACGUUAAGCAAAUCCUCAAAAGAUACCUCAGUUCGGAUUGCACUCUGCAACUCGAGUGCAUGAAGCUGGAAUUACUAGUAA